rnacentral:rRNA from 1 species
CGAGAGGCCCAAACGUUAUUCGGAAUUACCGGGCUUAAAGAGUUCGUAGGCGGCGCGGAAAGUAGGGUGUGAAAGCCCUCGGCUCAACCGAGGAAUUGCGCUCUAAACUACCGUGCUUGAGGGACCUAGAGGUAAGCGGAACUGAUGGUGGAGCGGUGAAAUGCGUUGAUAUCAUCAGGAACACCGGAGGCGAAGGCGGCUUACUGGGGGUCUUCUGACGCUGAGGAACGAAAGCCAGGGGAGCGAACGGGAUUAGAUACCCCGGUAGUCCUGGCCGUAAACGAUGAGCACUAGGCCGGAGGGCUGCACAGCUUUCCGGCCGUAGCUAAAGUGUUAAGUGCUCCGCCUGGGGAGUAUGGUCGCAAGGCUG